rnacentral:lncRNA from 10 species
AGCAGUGAGUCGGAGCUCUAUGGAGGUGGCAGCGGGUACCGAGUGGCGGCUGCAGCAGCGACUCCUCUGAGCUGAGUUUGAGGCCGUCCCCGACUCCUUCCUCCCCCUUCCCUCCCCCUUUUUUUUGUUUUCCGUUCCCCUUUCCCCUCCCUUCCCUAUCCCCGACGACCGGAUCCUGAGGAGGCAGCUGCGGUGGCAGCUGCUGAGUUCUCGGUGAAGUGCUUCUUCGGGCGGAGGAGGAAGUAGGGGUGCACCUCAGCACUAUCCCAAGACUGCUGGCAACAGCGAGUUCCUGGGGAAAACCCCAGGGCAAAACGCUCAGAAAUGGAUUCCUGCACGAAGCACUAGACGAGAUGACAACUCCGCAGCAAACAACUCCGCAAACGAAAAAGAACGACAUGAUGCAAUCUUCAGGAAAGUAAGAGGCAUACUAAAUAAGCUUACUCCUGAAAAGUUUGACAAGCUAUGCCUUGAGCUCCUCAAUGUGGGUGUAGAGUCUAAACUCAUCCUUAAAGGGGUCAUACUGCUGAUUGUGGACAAAGCCCUAGAAGAGCCAAAGUAUAGCUCACUGUAUGCUCAGCUAU